AAAGGUGGAGGAACUAAAAUCCCAGUUGUCCAGACAGCAGUCAACAAACUUCAAAAGCGAAAGCCGCCACCAAAGCAUCGGUGAGUCACGCCAUCGUUAAAAACAAUAAGUCCUUCCAAGACGGAGAGAUGGUAAAAGAAGCAUUUGUUGAAGCAGCUGACUCAAGUAAUUCAGAUGAUGAGAGGGUUUUUGAUGCACAAGGACUAGUGGUUCCACGGCGGAUGGUCCGUGAGAUGAAGGCUCGAAUAAACCCAAUGGCAACUGCAAGGAGGUGGAGCAGCGCAGUGUUUCAACGUGUCUAUCAUGCCCCAUAUACCCCAACAGUUUGUGGCAUAUUGAUGGCAACAUGCGUCUCAUAAGGUGGGGCUUUGUGGUCCAUGGUGGAAUUGAUGGAUGGAUGUUCCCGCUUGAUUACUUACUUGAACUGUAGCACAGACAAUCGCGCCUCAACACUGCUGUUUCUCAAAGCAACAGGCCUUUAUGAAUUACCUUCUAGAGUGAGGUCAGAUCAUGGUGGUGAGAAUGUGCAGGUGGCAUUGGUGAUGAACCUCCUACAGGGAAUUGAACAUCCGAGUCACAUUACUGGGGAGUCUAUCCAUAACCGGAUAAUAGAGCGUCUUUAGAGGGAUGUGUUUUUUACACGUUCUGGAACCAUUUUAUAGCAUGUUCUACACUCUUGAAGAUUCAACCCUAUUGGAUCCCAGUGACGAUGUGCACAAACUUUCACUUCACAUAGUUUUUCUUCCUGAGAUUCAAAACCGAUUAGAACAAUUCAGAAAAGCUUGGAACCAUCAUUCCUUGCAUACAGAAAACAACAGAACACCAGCACAAAUCUCGACUGAAGGGAUGUUGGCAAACACGGGUGUCAACAGCACAGCAACAAACAACGUGUUUGGUGAAAAUUCCUACACAGCAGAGACUCUUGAAGAACUUCUGGAACAGCAUGGCCUUGAGCCACUUCCGAAAACUGAUGCUGAGCAGGUCCCUAGUGUAGUUGUAGAACCACCCCAAGUCAGUCUCAGUCAGCAGCAACUUCAGUCAGUUAAUCGUGCAAUCAAUUACAUUUCAGAUCUGAAAAUGGAGUACCGGGCCUGUUGUGCAGAAAUUGCAAAUGUUUUAUUGAAUUAACAUGUAACAAUGUUUGAGAAGGAGGGACAAUAACAUCUGAUUAACAAUCCAAGAACACCUAACAAAAUUCAUUGUUUUGAAGAUACAAUUAUUUCAAAUAAAAAUUUUAGAAUUAA